UUAACCUCAAACCAGCUAGUUGGGGUGUAGUAGUUUAGCAGGACUAAUUGCAGACAAUGGAGCUGAAAUGACUUUUCCAAUUAGCUGCUGGUUGGAGUUUAGUUGGAGGAACUGUCAGCUCCAACGAUGGGUAAUUGCUUUAUUGCUCACAAAACUAUCAUCUAUUUAGAACAUAUGUGCUAAUUACUCUGGAUGGGCGUCGAAAAAGAGACCAUAAAUCUAUUAGCACUUUAAAAAGUCUUUGGUGCUUGUAAGCAACCCAACUCUCCUCCACAUUAUAGGAUGCACAGGUUGGCGUGAUGGAUGGGUGUCUUUCCGAAAAGCAAAUAUAUUUUCCACUGGAGGCAGUGAGAUGAUGUACUGGUCAAAUUCCGUCAAGGGGAGGGGGAGCAAGUCCUGCCCACUCAUUUCAUUCCAGAGAUAAAUCAGUGUCACCAAGCCCUCUUUAGUGGCAUUGCGCUUUUUUUCUUUUUCUUUGCAAAAGAUUACUUUAGAAAUCUUUUAAUUGGAUUACUCUGGAAAAUUAAUCUCUUUAGGCUUGACUAAAUUUGUUGCACCCAACAUUGAGAGUGAAACCUAAGUCACCAAAUGCAGGGAUACACUGAGGAGCCUUCCUCCUCCUGCAGGCCCGCCCUAGCUCAAGUCCUUUUCUGAGGGUCAAGGAGCAGAGUUCUGCAGACCCUCUUAGGAAGAUCUUGACACCCGAAGUCCUAGAUCCCUCCAGGUGCAGCUACUGGGGCGGGGGUGGAGUGGGGUGGGGUGGUGGUGGUGCUGGAUCAGGACCGUGGCUGGGAUAAGAAUCGCUACAACAAGGCCGCUCACAUCUUUUCUGGGUGAAUCCUCUUAACUCCGAGCGCCACUUUUCCACAUUCUUCCAUUUACUUCUUGAGCAACUGCAGUCCUCUCAGUUUGCUUCCAACCAACACCCCGAGCCCCGUCCUACAACUCCCUGCCUGUGUCGAGUUUUCUCAGUUCUCAGCCCUGCUUGCGGAGACUCAACUAAUCUGGAAUUGAGAAGAGGAAAUACCACCACUGUGCAGCCAAGCUGUGCUGAGGACUGAUUGAAAGAAACUGCUGCUCCAGAUGUUGCUCUAGCCGGCUUGCGAAGUGUGAGCAGGUAAUUCCGGGAAGAGUGACAUUGUUAACAGAAAGCAUCUAAUUAACAAUGACUUCAUUUGAUUGGAAGGAUGAAAAAGCCUUUUUAAAUCAAUCCAGAUUGACUGGUCUGAGCAGAGCCAA
rnacentral:lncRNA from 1 species